AUACCAAUAGUUCACUAGUGUCUUCUCUUGCUUUGACCUAAAAUCAAACCUUGAUUAUCUGAAACAAAGUGAAAUGAUUGAAUUGCGGUGUAGUUGGAGGCAUCCUGGUAAAGCAUCAGGAUCCUGGUACAAGACUGAGACAGGUGUGGGUACCAUGUCUUAGAUCCUUGGAUAUAAUGGUCCAAAAUCUUCUGGUGGACAACAAGUUGUCACUAUGUACAUGCUAAAAGAAAAGAAUUCUAGAGUGGCCACUAUAAUCAACUUAAGUUGAAGAUGCAUAUUAAAAGAAAGACGGGAAGAGAGCAGCACAUGCAAAUCCUGUUGAAGGGAAAAUGAUACCUGGGUGUCAAUGGGGUUUCAAAUAGCAAAGUGGCUCUUCAAACUCUUUCUGACAGAUUUUUUAAGUGUUUUAAUAUGACUGAUUUCAAGAUAUCAGUUACAUUAGUUAGCAA
rnacentral:lncRNA from 1 species